rnacentral:rRNA from 1 species
AAGACAUGCAAGUCGAACGGAAUUUCAUUUGUAGCAAUACACGUGAAGUUCAGUGGCGUAAGGGUGCGUAACACGUGGGCAAUCUGCCGAGAUGUGGGGGAUAGCUCGCCGAAAGGCGAAUUAAUACCGCAUGUGGUUAGUGAGGUCAUCCUCACAACACCAAAGCCGGGGCAACCUGGCGCAUCUUGAUGAGCCCGCGGCCUAUCAGCUAGUUGGUGAGGUAACGGCUCACCAAGGCUAUGACGGGUAGCUGGUCUGAGAGGACGACCAGCCACACUGGAACUGAGACACGGUCCAGACACCUACGGGUGGCAGCAGUCGAGAAUUUUUCUCAAUGGGGGAAACCCUGAAGGAGCGACGCCGCGUGGAGGAUGAAGGUCUUCGGAUUGUAAACUCCUGUCAUUUGGGAACAAGUUGCAUUGGUUAACUGCCGAUGCAUUGAUAGUACCAGAAGAGGAAGAGACGGCUAACUCUGUGCCAGCAGCCGCGGUAAUACAGAGGUCUCAAGCGUCGUUCGGAUUCAUUGGGCGUAAAGGGUGCGUAGGUGGCGGGGUAAGUCGGAUGUGAAAUCCCGGGGCUCAACCCCGGAACUGCAUUCGAUACUGCCUUGCUUGAGUACUGGAGAGGAGAUUGGAAUUUACGGUGUAGCAGUGAAAUGCGUAGAUAUCGUAAGGAAGACCAGUGGCGAAGGCGAAUCUCUGGACAGUUACUGACACUGAGGCACGAAGGCCAGGGGAGCAAACGGGAUUAGAUACCCCGGUAGUCCUGGCAGUAAACGGUGCGCGUUUGGUGUGGGAGGAUUCGACCCCUUCCGUGCCGGAGCUAACGCGUUAAACGCGCCGCCUGGGGAGUACGGUCGCAAGAUUAAAACUCAAAGAAAUUGACGGGGGCCCGCACAAGCGGUGGAGUAUGUGGCUUAAUUCGAUGCAACGCGAAGAACCUUACCUAGCCUUGACAUGCAUCUCUAAGUCGGUGAAAGCCGGCGACUGUAGCAAUACAGAAUUUGCACAGGUGCUGCAUGGCUGUCGUCAGCUCGUGUCG